UUAAGGUUUUCAUUAUUCUUGCUAGCACAAGAGAAAACCCUAGAGGCUGCAAUCAAAUUCUCUGUGUGGAUCACCGUUGGAGGCUGGACAAUUGGACAGCUGUGGUGGCGAAUCAAAGUUGUGGAACAAAAGAAAAGCAAAAGGAUUGCAGAUCUGGAAAAGGUACAAUCCUAUCACAAUUCCUAACCAAACACAAUGAGAUCUAUUGGAUGGGAAUCGAAAUAUAUUUUAAAUUCCGCUGUGCAUGUAUAAGUAGAUUCCCAACAGUUAGAUCAGAUGAAUCUCUUGAAACAAAAUAAUAUGGUAGCACGUCUAAAUCUUUCUUUCUUUCUAACUUGGCUGCCGAUUUUAUAAAUUUCU
rnacentral:lncRNA from 1 species